GGAUGGGUGGCCGAGCGGUCUAAGGCGCACGCCUGGAAAGUGUGUAUACGGUGAUCCCGUAUCGUGGGUUCGAAUCCCACCCCAUCCGCCA
rnacentral:tRNA from 2 species